UACGUAGGGCGCAAGCGUUGUCCGGAAUUAUUGGGCGUAAAGAGCUCGUAGGCGGUGUGUCACGUCGGUCGUGAAAACCUGGGGCUUAACUCUGGGCUUGCGGUCGAUACGGGCAUCACUUGAGUUCGGCAGGGGAGACUGGAAUUCCUGGUGUAGCGGUGAAAUGCGCAGAUAUCAGGAGGAACACCGGUGGCGAAGGCGGGUCUCUGGGCCGAUACUGACGCUGAGGAGCGAAAGCGUGGGGAGCGAACAGG
rnacentral:rRNA from 1 species